rnacentral:rRNA from 1 species
AACCGGGAGAAAUCCGCCUAAUACAGCAUGACGCCGGGAAGGGACAUCCCUUUCCGGCCAAAGGGGGCGACUCCGGUCACGGAUGGGCAUGCGGCGCAUUAGGUAGUUGGUGGGGCAACGGCCCACCAAGCCGACGAUGCGUAGGGGUUCUGAGAGGAAGGUCCCCCACAUUGGAACUGAGACACGGUCCAAACUCCUACGGGAGGCAGCAG